GUCUGAACAAGGCCAGCACCCUCUUCCAGCAUGCUAAGGAAGCCAUGGAAGUAACUGGAGAGAUGCCCUGCACCAUGCUGGUACCCACAGGACAUUGAGGUGAAGCACCCAAAGGCACCUGAGAAAAUUCAGAAUCACCAGAGAGGCAAGUGGGAGCUGCAGGUUGCUGAGACCUGCACAUUCCUACACUGAGCUGGUGAGGAAGAGUUAAGUCACUUCUGUCUGAGCUGAGGCUGGAAGGAGAGGUUGAUUGACUGAACAUUGGAAAUCCUCUCUUCAUGCCAGUUUGGUUGCAGUUAGCUGUGCUGUGCCCUGCAUCAGCCUCCAGAGAGCCUGUGUCACAGGACAGGAGACCUUUCAGCUGGAGAAGUCAGCCACUGUUCAAGCUUGACCCAGAUUCUGAGGCUUUCAUCUGGAGAGCUUCCUCACUGAUUUUCAGUCUUGGCUGUGUGAGUUUGUCUCCAGACCAGUCUGGGAAUGUAAGAGCUGGGGAAUCAUCUGACUCUUGCUGGAAGCAAGAGCACCCACUGGGAGCUGUUCUACCAGAUGCUGGUGAGGACAAAGAUGUUGGGAGGAUGUUGAAGAGGAAAAGAAUGAUGACAAUGAAUGAUGACCUGCAGCUGUUGGUUAACCAAUCUCAUUUGGAAAGAAGGCCCAUAGCAAGAGGAUCCUGUUAAUAACUCCAGUGUCUGGAUGCUGGCAGGACUGGGGUUUGCAUGAGUGGUGAAAUGGUGAAAUCAUGCCUAAACUCUGUUCCGAAGCUGGGGAGGCAGAGGUAUUGUGAAGCUUUUGUUCCCCGUGAAGUUUUGGAUAUGUUUGCCAGCAGAAAUCAAAUGUGAGCAUUUCCAAUUGUUGGGUGAAAGGUCCUUAAGUGAAACUAUUGCUCACUAAAGUGAAAAAUUUGCCUGUUCCCUCUAAAAUUGCCAUCUUGUUUCCAGACCUAUAAGGUGCAUGUCCUAGGAAUAGAAUAAAAUGUAAGUUGACCACA
rnacentral:lncRNA from 1 species